UUUUAAUUGCUGCUGACAUGAAUGAACUCUCUGAAACAACAGCUGUGUCUUGAGAUUACAUUACAAGGCAUGUGAGCAGGAUGCAAAGCAUCCUCAUAAAAAGACAAAGCCAAAGAAGUCUUUUAUUGCUUCUGAAAAAUAUUCCCAAAGCUGGGAUGCUUAAUUUCAAUUCCUGGAGGAUGCAGCAAUCAUAUGUUUACAGAACAAAAUUGAGAAACAACCUUUGUAUUUGUGGUGGCUGACAAGAAACAAAAUCCAGGUAGACAGUUUGGAUAAGAGUUGGAAAUCAGUCAGCAAGGUUAUACUUGUAUACAGCCUAAACAUUGGUUAGUGGCAAUGACAUCUGGCUAUUAAAAUAUUGUCCCAAGGUAUUAUUUCCUUUCUGUCUUUCUAGUCACAGAGUGUUUGCCACUGGGUAUAAAUUAUGGACAAAGGAGCUCAUUUAGAGAAAUAUUGACCUAGUCAUACUUUAAAAGUUUAUUACUACCCUGAGAGAAAUGAACCUUGUGAAAUUAUAACUGCUGAACUACAACCAAGAUCCUUUCAAAGACAGACCUCAAGAGGAAAGGAAGAGAAGGUUAAGGUUGGAGGAGACGAAAAUCAAGAGUGCUUAAAGAAGAAUGAAGAGGACAAAGAAGAUAGGGAUUUAGUGAACAGACCAAUGGAUCUGACAUCAAGAGCCCUGAGCUACUUAUCCUGAAACCAUUGUAUGUGAGAAGCCCAGGCCACAUUGGAGAGGCCCUGGAAAUGCUGUAUGGAAAGAAAGAGAGGCCAGGGAGCACCAUGGCACCAGAUAUGGGGGUGGAGAAGCCAUCUUGAGUGUAUCCCACAGCUUCUACUGCUGCCAACCUGAGCAAAGAUGAAUCACCCAGCCUGGCCCUUCCAGAAUUCCUGACCCACAAAAUCAUGAAUG
rnacentral:lncRNA from 1 species